GGGAGGGGACGGCGCGCACCUGGCAGAUGGGCCGGAUCGCGGCGGGAGAGCGGGUAGCGGGCUCGGCUGGCUGGGGCUCAGGCAGUAACAGAGAAGAAUUUUGAAACAAAAGAUUUUCGAGCCUCUCUGGAAAACGGUGUUCUGCUGUGUGAUUUGAUUAAUAAGCUUAAACCUGGUGUCAUUAAGAAGAUCAAUAGACUGUCUACACCAAUAGCAGGAUUGGAUAAUAUAAACGUUUUCUUGAAAGCUUGUGAACAGAUUGGAUUGAAAGAAGCCCAGCUUUUCCAUCCUGGAGAUCUACAGGAUUUAUCAAAUCGAGUCACUGUCAAGCAAGAAGAGACUGAUAGGAGAGUGAAAAAUGUUUUGAUAACAUUGUACUGGCUGGGAAGAAAAGCACAAAGCAACCCGUACUAUAAUGGUCCCCAUCUUAAUUUGAAAGCGUUUGAGAAUCUUUUAGGACAAGCACUGACGAAGGCACUUGAAGACUCCAGCUUCCUGAAAAGAAGUGGCAGGGACAGUGGCUACGGUGACAUCUGGUGUCCUGAACGUGGAGAAUUUCUUGCUCCUCCAAGGCACCAUAAGAGAGAAGAUUCCUUUGAAAGCUUGGACUCUUUGGGCUCGAGGUCAUUGACAAGCUGCUCCUCUGAUAUCACGCUGAGAGUGGGGCGUGAAGGUUUUGAAAGUGACACAGAUUCGGAAUUUACAUUCAAGAUGCAGGAU
rnacentral:sRNA from 1 species